CGGAGGGUGCAAGCGUUAUCCGGAAUCAUUGGGUUUAAAGGGUCCGCAGGCGGAUUUAUAAGUCAGUGGUGAAAGCCUACAGCUUAACUGUAGAACUGCCAUUGAUACUGUAAGUCUUGAAUUUGGUCGAAGUGGGCGGAAUAUGACAUGUGGCGGUGAAAUGCAUAGAUAUGUCAUAGAACACCGAUAGCGAAGGCAGCUCACUAGGCCAACAUUGACGCUCAUGGACGAAAGCGUGGGGAGCAAACAGGAUUAGAUACCCUGGUAGUCCACGCCGUAAACUAUCAAUACUCGUUUUCAGCGAUAUACUGUUGGAGACUAAGCGAAAGUGAUAAGUAUUGCACCUGGGGAGUACGAUCGCAAGGUUG
rnacentral:rRNA from 1 species